UACGUAGGGUGCGAGCGUUAAUUGGAAUUACUGGGCGUAAAGCGUGCGCAGGCGGUCUGUUAAGACCGAUGUGAAAUCCCCGGGCUUAACCUGGGAACUGCAUUGGUGACUGGCAGGCUUUGAGUGUGGCAGAGGGAGGUAGAAUUCCACGUGUAGCAGUGAAAUGCGUAGAGAUGUGGAGGAAUACCGAUGGCGAAGGCAGCCUCCUGGGCCAACACUGACGCUCAUGCACGAAAGCGUGGGGAGCAAACAGG
rnacentral:rRNA from 1 species